UAGCCCAUCGCCGAACCACAGUCCAUUCAGGUCUCGUGGAAUGUGGCGUUUGGGAGAGUCUUCUCGUGGUGUGGACGGCCAGUCAAAGUCCAACUUGACAGUGGCCAUGGCCCAUAGAGGGUGAUAGGCCCGUAAGGCGGCUGUCCUGCUGCGCUGACUUUUCCCUAGAGUCGGGUUGCUUGGGAGUGCAGCCCAAAGUGCGAGGUAAACUCCUCGUAAGGCUAAAUAUGACCCCGAGACCGAUAGCAAACAAGUACCGUGAGGGAAGAUUGAAAAGAACUUUGAAGAGAGAGUUCAAGAGUACGUGAAACUGUGUGGUGGUAAACGGAGGGGUUCUCGAAGUUUCCAAGGGGGACUCAACCUUGGUGGUUGUGGGUUCUUGGCAUUUGUGAUCAGAUUAAAUGACAUGGUGCUUUGUCCCCGCGGCCUCCCGGACGCACUUUCCCCUUGGUUGACGGCAGGAACUGUUAGGAGUGGACCAAAGGCCUGAGGUGAAGUUGUUGGUUAUGCUGGCAGCCCUCAGUGUCCUGGCUUCGCACCUGACAGGUACUUGAGUAAACUUGUAUAGCGAGCGGCCUUUGUUGCUGCGGUUUGCAUUUCUCUGCCGAGUAGGUCGGUGGCCCCUCCGACCCGUCUUGAAACACGGACCAAGGAGUCUAACAUGUACGCGAGCCAUUGGGUUGACUAAACCUAAAGGCGCAGUGAAGGCAAAGAGUAGCUGGUCUGCUUUAGGGACGAUCCGUGAGGCGCAGUCCCGCGACUUCCAAUCGACCUCGCAUCGUUGGGAGUACGUAGAGCGUAGAUGUUGGGACCCGAAAGAUGGUGAACUAUGCCUGGCCAGGUUGAAGUCAGGGGAAACCCUGAUGGAGGACCGUAGCGA
rnacentral:rRNA from 1 species